AAACAAAGAUCUCCAAGGAAUUUGUACAGGAAACACUUCAAACUGUGCUGGACCUGAGCUCCUGCACCUUCCCUGCUACUGGAACUGUUUCUGUAUUAACUGGCGAGAUUCCUCUGCAGUAAAGAGAGCAGGAGGUGUAAACCAGUGUGAAGGUAGCUGAAAUUUCCUUAGAAAUGACUGAUAUUUACUUUUUGAACACUUUAAAGCACAUGUUUCCUUGGGAUUUGACAGAAGAAUACGCAGAACUUCCAUGAACUAUCAAACCAGAGGAUAUGAGAUCAGAAAGGACCCAGCUGACACUGAAAGGCUCAGUCUCAGCUCAAUUUGAAGCAUUUUAAAACUUCACAGCAGCAUCCUUUAAAGUAGUGCCACCAAAGAUAUGCCUAAUAAUUGGGAAGUUCCACCUGGUUUUAUUCACUUGUGCAGCAUAUAGGCAGAUUUUAAGCACAACUCAUAAUUAAUUCAGUUUACUCCCAAAGUCUUUCAGAGAACUCCAGCAGCAGCAGCAAGGGAACAGCUCUUACCCUGUGGCUCUACAAACAGGACAGAAUUCCCUUGGGUGCCCUCCACUUCAUCUUCAUCAUCACUGAUCAGGAUUAUGUUCUGCUCUUCCUCCUCCUUUUCCGAUGGCCACAUGGCCACUAAAUUCCAAACUGGAACUACUUGGCAGCAAGCAGGGUAACAGAGACUGUCCAUUCACACUUUUAAUGUGCUUUCCUCAACAAGGGAAGAAAAAGACUCAUCCAAGACCCAAAUUCUUUGUCUCUGUUGGGUAAACUGAACUACAGACAGAGAUGUUCCAUCCUCAGUGCACUCAGCAGCUCAAAACCCACUGGAGCUUCCAUCCAGAGCUGAGAGAAUCCUAAAAACAAGGAGAGGGGGAGAAAAAAAAAAAAAAAAGAAGAAAAAAUCCUUAAAA